GGGGAAUUAGCUCAGUUGGCUAGAGCGCUACAAUGGCAUUGUAGAGGCCACCGGUUCGAAUCCGGUAUUCUCCA
rnacentral:tRNA from 1 species